UCAUCAAUUUACGAUGACAUUCCUAAAAUUUUAAAAGUCAUAUUAAACCUGAUUAUUUAAUUCACAACUAUCAAAUCGGUUAAUUGGACAAAAAUAACCCUCAGCACCACCACCACCAAAAAAAAAAAAAAAAAAAAAAAAUUCAAAUCCUAGAAAACAGACAACUCUUCCUCUCUUCGAUUCUCUCUCUACCAAAAAAACAAAACCCUUUCUCUUUUUUUAUCCACCACCACCUACGGCCUACACCCACGUCGCCGCCUCCUCCCACCGAAAAAUACAUAGAGAGCAUGAGAAAGAGAGGGAUUAGAGAUCGCGACCAUCUCCAAUCACCAUCUAACCAAGAAUUUCACAUCAGGGGCAAAGCCGUCGCCGGAUCGGAGCUCCGUCAAGAAGAAUUCGAUGGAGAAGCUAGCUAUCGCCGUUGAUGAUGGCCCGAGGAACCACAAAUCCGGCGCGCACGGUGACAACGAUUACAGCUGAUGACGGCGUAGCCCAACGCUCCAACCACAAAUGUCAACGACUGCAAGACACGGCGAUGACCAUCAUCGGUGGCAAUGAAAAACUCCGGCGACCGCAAUGACAAAAAACUUGUAAUCGAUCUUCUCUCCGACAGUGAACCAAUCUCUUAUCUCCGACAGUGACCAUCUAUAACCAUAGUCUGCAACAACCCAUACCCAUUAGUCCCCAAACAGACCCCAAGUCCCAAACCCAUCAGUCCCGUUGUCGCUAAACCAACAACCAGCAAACCGUACCCUGAACCAUCAAACCCCAAUAUUGGAAACCCAAUUACAAACCCAAGCCCUUAAGACCAAAUCAGUCCUUGACACACCCAGAUCGAAACAAACCCCUUACCAUCAAUAUUCCGUCGUCGAAAAUCUAAACAACCCCAAUCGCUAAGUGAUCAUCUCUGCUUCUCCAUCGCCUCAUUGGUUGCUAUUCGUCACCAAAUCCCAAAACUGAAGCCAUCAGCUCUGUUGUGUCACCGCAGGAAUCCGCCAUACCUGCCAUUGUCGAUUUUGGUCCUUCAAAUUUUAGCUUACAAGGUUAUAUUGGUAAUUUAAACUUUUUUUUUUUUAUGCAUUUGUUGAUGAAGUCAAAAGUUAAAUGGUCAUUUUUUCAAGUGUAAGAAAUCUAGAGGGUGUGUAUGUAAGUUUUUGAAAUCUCAAUAUAAACCAAGUGCAUUACUCGUUCA